rnacentral:rRNA from 1 species
UACGUAGGGUGCAAGCGUUGUCCGGAUUCAUUGGGCGUAAAGAGCUCGUAGGCGGCUUUGUAAGUCGGGUGUGAAAACCCCAGGCUCAACCUGGGGACGCCACUCGAUACUGCAAUAGCUAGAGUCUGGUAGGGGAUCACGGAAUUCCUGGUGUAGCGGUGAAAUGCGCAGAUAUCAGGAGGAACACCGGUGGCGAAGGCGGUGAUCUGGACCAGCACCGACGUUCAGGCACGAAAGCGUGGGGAGCAAACAGG